AGUGUGGUCAGGCGGCUCGGACUGAGCAGGACUUUCCUUAUCCCAGUUGAUUGUGCAGAAUACACUGCCUGUCGCUUGUCUUCUAUUCACCAUGGCUUCUUCUGAUAUCCAGGUGAAAGAACUGGAGAAGCGUGCCUCAGGCCAGGCUUUUGAGCUGAUUCUCAGCCCUCGGUCAAAAGAAUCUGUUCCAGAAUUCCCCCUUUCCCCUCCAAAGAAGAAGGAUCUUUCCCUGGAGGAAAUUCAGAAGAAAUUAGAAGCUGCAGAAGAAAGACGCAAGGUAAACGAAGCAAUUCACAGAAAGCAGGAUAUUAAUUUAUGUAAUGGGCAGAUCAAUUUUAUUUCUAUAACAGGAAGAAAACAGAAUUGUAGCUACACUGUGAUUAUUACAUAUGCCAGUGACUGGAAGGAAAUACCAGUCCUCAUUUAUUGAACUCCUGUUACAUGCCCGCUCCUUUGUUUAUAUUUUUCUCCUUUAAUACAUGGUGUUGCCUCAAAUAAUGGAAAUUAGAAACAGUUUCAGGAAUGUUAAGUCGUUUUUCUGCAGUCAUACAACUAGUAAGUGUUGGGGUCAGAAUUCAAGCCCUGGUCUAUCUUAAACCAAAGCUCAUGCUUCUCUCAUGCUUCCUCUUUGAAAAGAUUUGUUGCCAGAUGAUUCUUUGGCACUUUGGUUUUGUUUUUUGAGAGCUGUACAAUAACAUUUUAAAUUGCUAGUGUGAUUGUGUUGCUCAGCUGGUAUCAUGGUAGCUUUUCUCUUAUCUAAACAAUUCUAUUAUAAAGUAACUAUCUUUAAAAGCUAAUCAGAAGAAUCAAUAAAUAUUAAUAUGCUAGUUGUAGAAAAUUUGGGAAAUACAGAAAUUUAUAAAUGGAAAUUAAAAGUAUUCAUUAUCCCGCUUCCGAGAAGCAACCAGUGUUAACAUUUUGGUGUGUUUCUUUCCAUUCAAUGUUACUCAUUAACAACUGUACAUAACUUUUCAUUUAACUCCCUUUCUCAACAACCCUGAUAGGAUUGAUUUUAAAGCUGGGGCAAGUGAGGCACAAAAGGUAAGGUAAUAACCUUCCCCAGACCAGCAUAGUGAUUUGUAGUAUACACACACACCCGCCCGAAGAGCCUCAGUGCUUACACUAAGGAGUCGUCUUCUAUGCAAUAGUGUGAGUUCAUGGAGUAGGAGGAAGCAAUACAACCAAAGGUUGGACAGUGGAAAGCUUUUUAGACAUCAACCCUGGCCCUGUAGUCAUUAGCCUGUGCUUUACAUAGUAACUGGCUAAAUAUAAUGAAACUCCCAUCAUGACUAGGAUUUGGCAGAAGAGAAUCAAUAGAACCAGUGUCAGAUGCUCUGUGGUUAUCCUGCAAGUCAGUGGUUCCAAUGUGUUUUGAGAACAAGCUGUUCUGUUGAAGGGGUCAUACCAAGGUAUGGUCUGGUAAUUAAUGCAGUUUCCUGAGACAAAAGCUAAUAAGCCUUUUCCUUGAAACAAAUUUUUCUGUCUUAAAUAGUAAUCUACAGACUUAGUCUUGAAUUUCCUAUCAUUGUUUUAUCAGUUAUGGUUAAAAUUUUUACAAUGAGCUAGUUUUCUUUGGGUAGCUUUUGAAGUUAAAUAGUGAAAUUCUUUACAAUAAAAGUGCCACUCGCAAGUACAUAUUCCUCAAGUCAUCCAGAUACCAUUAAGCAGUAAAUCUUACAAGGAUUUCCUUAAGGACUAAUUGGGUAAGAUUUCUGAACAGAUAAGCACUUUUCCAAAGUUAAAUACAAAUACUAGAAAAAGAAUAUCAUUUUCACAGUAUUUUAUGAUAGGGAUAAUUCAGGUCCUAAUUUUGGUGUUAUUUAAAGGGACCUUAUUUUCUGCCCCUUUUCAAUCCCCUUAGUAAAUUAUUUUUAUUGUAAUUUUAACUUAUGCUGAAUACAUUUUAUUUUUUGAGGCAGAGUCUCUGUCACCCAGGGUGGAGUGCAGUGGCACGAUCUCAGUUCACUGCAACCUCCACCUCCCGGGUUCAAGCAAUUCUUCUGCCUCAGCCUCCCAAGUAACUUAGACUACAGGCACCCGCCACCACGCCCGGCUAAUUUUUGUAUUUUUAGUAUAGGUAGGAUUUCACCAUGUUGGCCAGGCUGGUCUUGAACUCCUGACCUCAAAUGAUCCACCCACCUUGGCCUCCCAAAGUGCUGGGAUUACAGGCGUGAGCCACCACACCCAGCCUGAAUACAUUUUAGAGUGCCUAGCCUAUUAAACUUUUUUUUCCAGUCCCAUGAAGCUGAGGUCUUGAAGCAGCUGGCUGAGAAACGAGAGCACGAGAAAGAAGUGCUUCAGAAGGCAAUAGAAGAGAACAACAACUUCAGUAAAAUGGCAGAAGAGAAACUGACCCACAAAAUGGAAGCUAAUAAAGAGAACCGAGAGGCACAAAUGGCUGCCAAACUGGAACGUUUGCGAGAGAAGGAUAAGCACAUUGAAGAAGUGCGGAAGAACAAAGAAUCCAAAGACCCUGCUGACGAGACUGAAGCUGACUAAUUUGUUCUGAGAACUGACUUUCUCCCCAUCCCCUUCCUAAAUAUCCAAAGACUGUACUGGCCAGUGUCAUUUUAUUUUUUCCCUCCUGACAAAUAUUUUAGAAGCUAAUGUAGGACUGUAUAGGUAGAUCCAGAUCCAGACUGUAAGAUGUUGUUUUAGGGGCUAAAGGGGAGAAACUGAAAGUGUUUUACUCUUUUUCUAAAGUGUUGGUCUUUCUAAUGUAGCUAUUUUUCUUGUUGCAUCUUUUCUACUUCAGUACACUUGGUGUACUGGGUUAAUGGCUAGUACUGUAUUGGCUCUGUGAAAACAUAUUUGUGAAAAGAGUAUGUAGUGGCUUCUUUUGAACUGUUAGAUGCUGAAUAUCUGUUCACUUUUCAAUCCCAAUUCUGUCCCAAUCUUACCAGAUGCUACUGGACUUGAAUGGUUAAUAAAACUGCACAGUGCUGUU
rnacentral:lncRNA from 1 species